CUUUGAUUCUUACUGAAAUCGCUUCCUGGGCGUUUUGCAGAAUAAGGAAAAAUAGAGCAGAGAUUGGCCAAUACCUGGCAAAUGACUGUAAAUGAGAAGGAGUUUGUUGAAACAGUGCUUCUUUCUGACCUUAGAAUUGAUGGUCGGAGGCCAUUUGAGUACCGGAAUUAAACAAUCCGGUUCGGUAGGUAAGUAAGAAUGUAAAAGCCAUUGUUUUCCUCAUAGAAGAUUUUUUCCCCCUUUCUUAAUUAGGAUGAAGCUUAUGAAGUCUAUCUCGUCAUUGGAUUUGUAUCUUGUUCUUAUCUUCUUUUCCUUAGUAUUAGUGUGUCCCAAAAGGAAGGGUUGAAGAAUUGGUGGUUGAUCAUCUGAUAAUUACCACAUAUCGAAGUUUAUGAUAUGUGAAUUGUAGUAUUUUUAAAACUGUGGCGUGUGUGUGCAGGGAAG
rnacentral:lncRNA from 1 species